rnacentral:rRNA from 1 species
GUACACUCCUACGGGAGGCAGCAGUGGGGAAUUUUACGCAAUGGGGGAAACCCUGACGUAGCGACACCGCGUGAGCGAAGAAGCCCUUUGGGGUGUAAAGCUCUGUCAGCUGGAACGAAAACAAUGACGGUACCAGCAGAGGAAGCAUCGGCUAACUACGUGCCAGCAGCCGCGGUAAGACGUAGGAUGCGAGCGUUGUCCGGAUUUAUUGGGCGUAAAGAGUUCGUAGGUGGUUUGUUAAGUUUGGUGUUAAAGAUCGGGGCUCAACCCUGGGACUGCACUGAAUACUGGCAGACUCGAGUGUGGUAGAGGCUAGUGGAAUUCCCAGUGUAGCGGUGAAAUGCGUAGAUAUUGGGAAGAACACCGGUGGCGUAGGCGACUAGCUGGGCCAUAACUGACGCUGAGGAACGAAAGCCAGGGGAGCGAAUGGGAUUAGAAACCCCGGUAGUCCCAUGAU